UGAAUUGCUGGAAAAGUAACGCAUUGCAUUCUUGCAGGCAAGACUGUCUUCAUGGAUCAUCUCUUCUGAAUACAAGUGGUUAUUCAUGGCCCUCCAGGGACUAGAACUUACAAAACAGCAUUUUGCUCAUCUAAAUAUUAUUUGCUAGAAAUCAUGUAAAGCAAUAUCUGAAACCCUAAAAGUCCUGCUCAAGUUACAACAACUGAAACUGAAACAAAAUUUAAAUGUGAUGUGUCCUGAAAAUUCUUUUCCUGUGAUGGAAGCCAGUGAACCUGAAAUCUAUUCCAUGGGUAGUGUGGGUUAAGCUCCUUUCUUCAGCUUCAAGAACCUCCUAAGAACUUGACCAGUAACAUUUUCUCUUCAUGAGCCAGCCAGGAGAUAAAAGGAGGUAUCAUGACUUUGGUAAUUUUAGCUGAAGAAUUUUUUUGUUUGUUUGUUUCCUCACU
rnacentral:lncRNA from 1 species